UACGUAGGGGGCGAGCGUUGUCCGAAGUUACUGGGCGUAAAGCGCGCGUAGGCGGUCUCUUAAGUCCGGGGUGAAAGGUUCAGCGCUCAACGCGAACAGUGCCCUGGAGACUGGGGGACUUGAGUGCGGGAGAGGAAGGUGGAAUUCUCGGUGUAGCGGUGAAAUGCGUUGAUAUCGAGAGGAACGCCGGUGGUGAAGACGACCUUCUGGAACGCAACUGACGCUGAGGCACGAAAGCUAGGGGAGCAAACAGG
rnacentral:rRNA from 1 species